rnacentral:rRNA from 1 species
GAUGAACGCUGGCGGCGUGCCUAAUACAUGCAAGUCGAGCGGACAGGCGAUGAUCUUGCGGCGUGGACGUGUGCGGCGGGCGGGUGAGUCACAUGUGUAUAACGUCCCUGUAAUACGGGGAUAUCUUGGAGAAAGCGGAGCUUAUAGCGUAGAAGCUACUGAACCGCGUUGUGCAAUAGUGAAAGACGGUUGUUCUGGCUGUUAUAGAUGGAUCCGCGCCGCAUUAGAUAGUUGGUAAGGUAACGGCUUACGAAGGCAACGAUGCGUUGACGACGGGAGAGGCUGGUAGGCCACACUGGAACUGAGACACGGACAAGACUACUGAGGGAGGCAGCAGACGGCAACCUUCGGCAACAGGCGAAAGCAUGACGGAGCAAGGCCGAGUGAGAGACGACGGUGCCCGGAUCGUAAAAACCUGCUAUUAGGGAAAAACCAAUGUGUAAGUAAACAUGGCCGUAUUGACGGUAACUAAUAAGAAAGCACCGGCUAACUACGUG